rnacentral:rRNA from 1 species
UACAGAGGUCUCAAGCGUUGCUCGGAAUCACUGGGCGUAAAGGGUGCGUAGGCGGGUCUUUAAGUCAGGGGUGAAAUCCUGGAGCUCAACUCCAGAACUGCCUUUGAUACUGAGGAUCUUGAGUUCGGGAGAGGUGAGUGGAACUGCGAGUGUAGAGGUGAAAUUCGUAGAUAUUCGCAAGAACACCAGUGGCGAAGGCGGACUCACUGGCCCGAUACUGACGCUGAGGUGCGAAAGCGUGGGGAGCAAAGCAG